UUAAAAAUAAAGUCUAAUGGUUUAUUAGGGAAAAAAAACUAGCCCAUGAAUGUUAACAAACAAUGAUAAUAGCAACUCAUGUAGGGUUUUAACAUUUAUUAUACAUUUCUUCUCUACUGUUCUUAUAGUGUACAGUAAUUUCAAUAGGAUGUAGUAUUUAUUUGCUUGUUAAUUUUUAACUGUAAGAUUCACUUCGGGGUCAAUCAUUUUGCUGCAGAAGUGAAUCUCUGUUUUUAAGGAUACGGCCAGAUUAAUAUAUGUUUAAAAAUUUACUUUUUAGCUGAGAUAAAUUGCUAUCUUCAGCUAAAUGAGAAAAUUAAUAAAAAGCAAAAGAAAUAAAUUUUUGCUUGACUGCUAUGUGAUCAUCUUUAUCGCUUAAAUGAUUUAGAGCUCUUCUAUUCCAAUACUUCUUCUUUUACAGAUGAGGAUUCUUAUGUCCAGGGAGAUGGUCUUUCUUAAAAGCUCAUAAGAAGAAAAGUUGGGAGUGAGAGAUGAGACAUUUAGGUCCCCAGAAACAGACAGCAUUACCUUUUGAUUAUUGCCACAAAUAAGGAACUAAAAAUGUUGAUCAGAUCCUCUUCUAAAUACCACUUGAAGUUUUUUAAAUGACAUCAGGUAGCAAAUUUUUUCUUUGGUAGCAGAAAUUGCUUUUCUUACCCCAGAGAAGAUGAGUUAUAAAAAAAAGGUACUAUAACUUUUGUACUUUUACCAUAAAAAGUACAAAAUUAUUUUUACUGUUGUGGUGGUUUAAAGUAGGUUGCUGAUAUGAGCAUUGUGGAAGAAUGAUAUUUAGACAGUGUAGCCACAGUUUCACAGUUUGGUUUGAAUGUUGUUGGCUGUAGACCAGUGGUUCUCAAAAUAGUUGUUUUGAAGAUAUGAAGGGCAAAGUGGUGAGUUAGUCAGAAUAAUCUGAAAGUCUGACAUUAAAUACCUCAUGUUCCUCAAUGUGGUGUACCCAUAAAGAAUAGUGGCCUUAGAUUAUCUUAAGACUAACAAAAUUUUUCUUUAGGAAUGUUUUAUUGAUAUUUCCAAGGUAGGAAGAAAAUAUUACAUAUGAACUCAACUUUAAUAUUAUGUAUUUCUACAAACAUGGAGUAAGAAGAGAAGCUCAAUGUUUCACACUGAUU